rnacentral:rRNA from 1 species
CCCUUAGAUGUUCUGGGCCGCACGCGCGCUACACUGAUGCAUUCAACGAGUUUCUUCCUGGUCCGAGAGGAAUGGGUAACCUUUUGAAAGUGCAUCGUGAUAGGGAUAGACUAUUGCAAUUAUUGGUCUUCAACGAGGAAUUCCUAGUAGACGUAGUUCAUCAGACUGCAUCGAUUACGUCCCUGCCCUUUGUACACACCGCCCGUCGCUACUACCGAUUGAAUGGUUUAGUGAGGACUCCUGAUUGGCGCCGCCGCCCCGGCAACGGAGCAGCGGACUGCCGAAAAGUUGCUCAAACUUGAUCAUUUAGAGGAAGUAAAAGUCGUAACA